UACGUAGGUGGCAAGCGUUGUCCGGAUUUACUGGGCGUAAAGAGCGCGCAGGCGGUCGGAUAAGUCGAAUGUGAAAGCCCCCGGCUCAACUGGGGAGGGUCAUUCGAUACUGUUCGACUCGAAGGCAGGAGAGGGAAGUGGAAUUCCCGGUGUAGUGGUGAAAUGCGUAGAUAUCGGGAGGAACACCAGUGGCGAAGGCGACCUCCUGGCCUGUUCUUGACGCUGAGGCGCGAAAGCUAGGGGAGCAAACAGG
rnacentral:rRNA from 1 species